rnacentral:rRNA from 1 species
AUGACUGGCCCUAAGCGAGGGAUAGAUAUCGCGGAUAGUGUUCUAAUUGAAUAUGACAUGAGGAUCAAGGCUGGUGAAGAAGAAAAGGAUGACAUACAAUUGAUUGAUGGUGCAUCAAUCAUAGGCCACGAAGGCAAAUGGGAUCAGCCAUUCACAUUUCGCAUUCCUGGUGAUGGUGGUGCGGUUGACAUAAUUUUAUCAUGUCUUUUAUAUGCAGUUGAGGCGACUGUAGAGGUUCUUAUAUCGGAAGUUCAAAGCAGUUUUAAUUUGUCUAUCGAAUGUUUAAGUAGUGGGUUUGGUGAGGAAAUCCGGCUCUUCGAUGGUGCGGUUGCUGAAUCACGUGGCUUAAAGAGGUCUGUGGUUGCUGUAUUGAAAAAUUCUUCGAUAGAUUUGGAGUUCAAGGUUGCUGCACUGUCAUCCCGUUCCGACCACCAACAUUGUUGUUCUUUCAAGGCUAAAACGCAUGGGCAUGAUAAUCAAGAAAUAAAGAAUGAUUUUGCGGUAAUCUCGGUGAAGGUGACUUGGUCGACGUUGCCUGCUAGCUUAUCUGACUAA